CAUGUAACGCCAUUGGGGUAGGAGCCCAGAACUAUUCUCCGAUGACGAGGAAAGAGAACAGCUCUGCAGAGACACACUACCUCAUUAUCUAAUCUCACCCGGCAGCAGGGGAACCGCCAUCCGUUUCUAGAAAUCUGGUGCCCCCGUGUGUCAACGAUGAGUAAAAGGAAGCCAUUGGCCCAGCAAUGUGACCUCAGCGUAAAUCAGCUUGGCUUUAGUCAUGGUUAUGUGCUGGGUGAAGAUUCAUUUCAAGACUUCAGAGAGCAGAGGAGGCCUUAGGUUCAAGACACAGAACCAAAGGGAAAACGUCUGGAACGACAUUCUCUCUUCCGUGGAUAUUUUUCCAAAGAAAUCGAAGCAAGAGCUUCAGUUCUACAGACAAGGACCAGAUGCUAAGGGAUAAUUAGGAAAGGAGACCCAGCAAGGAGCUGGUGGGGCCUACGGACUAAGGAUGUGGAGAUUUUCUCAUCAGUGGGAGAGCCAGGUUCUGUCACCGUUGCAGCCUCUGCUCCUUCAACCACUUUGCUUCAGUGGCAGUCAGCUGCUUCCCAAGGUGACAUUCUUCAGUUGUACUAAACUGCAAAGAGCCACCAACAGGAGAACUCUUGCAACGCUUUUAAUGCCAGCUUCUUCUCCUCAGCUCCAAAUGUGAUCUGGCACUUUUUAAAUUGCCCUAGUCUUCAAGGAGAGUCCCAGCAGGAGUGUCACCCCACAAGGAAGCUGGGCAGCCUGUCAUGAAGGCCAGCUGUGCAGGUGGAGCUGGCUGAGCUUUGGGGACAUUUGUAGGUCAAUGGAAAUGAGUUAAAAGGUAAGAUAGUGAGCAGCACAGUUUUCAUAAUCAAGGACACCGAGGUUGCCCACCUACUUGCUAAGACUUAAAAGUGUACACUCAACAAGCCAUACUUGAUUCAGUCAAAAAGAGUAUGGAAAAUCAGCAGACACUCACUAUAUAUCUUUUGGACAAAAAUAAAAUAGCACGAGCUUUGAA